CACAUGCAAGUCGAGCGGCAGCGGGAAGUAGUUUACUACUUUGCCGGCGAGCGGCGGACGGGUGAGUAAUGUCUGGGAAACUGCCUGAUGGAGGGGGAUAACUACUGGAAACGGUAGCUAAUACCGCAUGACCUCGUAAGAGCAAAGUGGGGGACCUUCGGGCCUCACGCCAUCGGAUGUGCCCAGAUGGGAUUAGCUAGUAGGUGGGGUAAUGGCUCACCUAGGCGACGAUCCCUAGCUGGUCUGAGAGGAUGACCAGCCACACUGGAACUGAGACACGGUCCAGACUCCUACGGGAGGCAGCAGUGGGGAAUAUUGCACAAUGGGCGCAAGCCUGAUGCAGCCAUGCCGCGUGUGUGAAGAAGGCCUUCGGGUUGUAAAGCACUUUCAGCGAGGAGGAAGGCAGUCGUGUUAAUAGCACGAUUGAUUGACGUUACU
rnacentral:rRNA from 1 species